UCGCAUAUCCGGCUCUCUCAUUUUUUCGCCGACCAAGGAAGACAGCAACUAUACACAAAGGUGCUGGUAAUAAAUUUAUUAAAAUUUAAACAUUUCUGGGUCACAUGCAACAAACUUCAACAUUUCCAAGGCAAACGCUGGAAAUGAUGAUGUGCAUGACCUAUGGAAUAGUAUUUUGAAAAAUCUCUCAGUGAUGACUGAAAUAAAGCUGUAUUUAAAUCGGGAUAUGCCAACCUUAAGGAAAUGCAUGCUACCAGCUAGAAUCACGGACAUUUCUUUAGUGGACAGGACAGAGCGCACAAAAUACGGUGUCUCAAUGUGUACACACACAUCCAAAUAUGUAUGUGCGGUUGUUAUCAUUUUCCUGAGUGGUGGUCGAGCACGCCAGUAAAUUGGGGUGGAUUAAGCAGGUUACUAAUGGGGUGACAUUUUGACAUAAAAGUUGUUGGCAGCUAAGCAAAUUACAAGGUAAUUAAAAAUGGAGUGCUACACAUAUUCCCCUUGUGGACACCAACCUUCAGAUAUUGAUUGUUGUUGUUGCACGAACAGACGAAUUUGUUCGGUAUCGUGAAAUGAUACCCAGUAUUUAUGCCUAGAACAUAAGCAUAAAGGAUACCUGGGAGCACAGCCCGAUACUUUGACACAUAUCAAUUAAAUGGCACACCUGUGGGAAACAACAUCAUCUUCUAGCGAUUGGAAGGGAUCAAAAAUUCGUUGCCGAUUUUAAAAAGGUUAUUAUCUUCUAACUUUGGUGUGACCGCGUUAAAUUAUUUCGAUAUCAUCUAUUCCGUUUCGCCACCACAUAAUUCGGUACUACACUUCCAUGUAACCCGUCAUCAAUUUCAGUUCUCAAGAAAUCAAGUCAAUUAAAUAAAUUGAUAUUAUGAUAUUCGAAUUCAAAAAUAAAAUAUAAAAAACACUACAAAUGUACAUUAGAAAAAAGUAAGUCAAAAUGGAAAAAAAUCAUGCAAAAUAAAACAUUACUAUUGUACAUUUCAAAAGUCAAAAUGAAAAUGUUAAUAUAUCACAUUUUUACGUGAUUUUUUUUUUGUAUAUUAUCCUUUUCGGAUAGGAGACAAUUCCGAAUUUGUAUGAAUCAUUAAAAUCAGUUCAGCGGUUCUUAAGUUAUAAGCGUAGUAACUAACACAACUUUCAUUUAUAUAUAUAGAUGUAUAGAUAGAUAAAAAAGUAUGCGUGGUCAGUUCCUCAGCCCCCAAACAAAUACUUAAGGUUGGAGGGAAGGUCAACAGUAUCUCGUGCAAUAAUUUUUAAACCAAUAUCUUGUUUAUUUGGGAAAUAUAAGGAUUUUAGAUAAAUCGAAAUAGUGGGCGUAAAAGGAGGCGUGGUCAAUAUUUUUUUCUUUAAAAACCUAACUCGGGGUAUGACAAACGUUUGUACAAAAAAUUAUGCAAAUCGGUCCAGCCGUUUUCAACUGAUUCCGUUACCAACAAACAACAAUUGAUUUUUAUAUGAUAUGAAGCGCCGAGGAUUUUUCCAAUGUUCCCAGCGUAUAAUAUUUUCAACACUUUACUCAUUAUGUUGCUUGCCUUUCACAUUGUUUGGACGUACAUGAUACUUAAGAUUGUAAUAAAUUCUUUACAAAAGGGGUUGGUGAGCAUUUUGAUUUAAGAACACAUUGCAGUCUCAUUGAUAAUUCAUUUCCUUUACAGAUGUCUGGUGAUAUAAGAUCGAGCGACAGCGAAAUCUCUGAAAAAAAUCGCUCAAUAAUGGUGACGUUAAACCUGUAGAUAAAAUCCAAAAGAGAGCUCUAACCAAAACAGAAUAACCAAAUAAGCAUAAUUAUUUCCUCUGUUUGUAUUUCUUUUGUAUGUUAUGUACAAACUAUGUAUGUUGUAGUAUAUUUAAAAAGUUUUUAAUGUCAAGAAUCCAGGUAUAAGUAAAUUGUUUAUUUUAUUGUUGCUUAUAAUUUAAAAAUUGUAGUAAGUUAUCACUAAUGUAUGCGUUUUAGAGAGUUGCUUAAUUGAAUGAAUAUAAAUAUAGCCCAAAAUACGAGGAUUUAGAUUCAUAUUGCCAAAAUACAACUAUAUAUUUAAAAAUAAAAGGUCGUGUGAAAUUAA